UCUUCUGUCAAAGGGCUGGGCCUUGUUGUGCUCAGCACCAUGUAAAAGGGGAACAAAAAGCUGUCUGGCCCAGGUAGCCCAUGGUUAAUUCUGGGAUAAAUCUAGUUCCAGACAUUG
rnacentral:snoRNA from 1 species